UACAGAGGGUGCGAGCGUUGUCCGGAAUCACUGGGCGUAAAGGGCGCGUAGGUGGCGUCGCAAGUCGAUGGUGAAAGCUCGAUGCUUAACAUCGAGUCGGCCAUUGAUACUGCGAGGCUGGAGCACUGUAGAGGCAGAUGGAAUUCCGGGUGUAGCGGUGGAAUGCGUAGAGAUCGGGAGGAACACCCGUGGCGAAGGCGGCCAUCUGGACCAGCACUGACGCUGAGGCACGAAAGCGUGGGGAGCAAACAGG
rnacentral:rRNA from 1 species